AGAUAAAUAAAUAAAAGUAAUAAAAACUAAAUAAAUUGGCAAUGAGUAUGGGAAUCUGCUCAUUUGAUUGUUAAAAAAAAAAAGCAAUUGGAAUCGGUCACGAAAAAUCCUGACCAAUGCAUCCUUAACUGGAAUAGAGUUAGACCUACCUGAAAAACCUGAAAAAGCAUGGUUCAUUUCAGUUUUAUCUUUGAACUAUUGUACCUAUUUUUGCAAAAUGGUCAUCAUUUAUUCCAAUACAAUGUUACAGUCAACAAUGAAAACAAUAAGUCUUAUUUAUUGAUUGACUGAUUGUGGCAAGGCCUGUGAAAAUUUUGCCAGGGCAAGUAAAAAAUUUAAACCACUGGCCAAACCGGGCCAGUAGAAAAUUUCCUUAGCGUUGAGCCCUGUCAAUAUGAUCAAAAUCAGUAUAAUAACACUUGUACACAGAUCUGUAGAACAUGUAGGUUCCAUAAUGAUAUUUUAAAAUUAAAAACUAGUAUCAUCGUAAAAUUGUGAGGAAGAGCUGAGCAAGUCUUACACAUGUAUUUCCUGGUCUGAGAGUGACUUCCUGCUUUAACAGGAAGUAAUGGAUACCAAAAAAUAUAGAAAUGUAUGUAUGUGAAAGGAGAAUGUAUGUGUGUGAAAGUAGAAUUGUAAGUAUGUGAAAGGAGAAUGUAUGUGUGUGUGAGAGUACUAAUGCAUGUACAGUGGUGUGAAAAAGUGUUGGCCCCCUUUCUGAUUUCUUUUUGCAUGUUUGUCACACUUUAAUGUUUCAGAUCAUCAAACAAAUUUAAAUAGUAGUCAAAGAUAACACAAGUAAACACGACAUGCAGUUUUUAAAUGAAGGUUUUUAUUAUUAAGGGAAAACAAAAUCCAAAACUACAUGGCCCUGUGUGAAGAAGUGUUUGGCCCCCCCUCCCCGUUAAAACUGUGGUUUAUCACACCUGAGUUCAAUUUCUCUAGCCACACCCAGAUCUGAUUACUGUCACACCUGUUCACAAUCAAUCAAGAAAUCUCUUAAAUAGGACCUGCCUGACAAAAUGAAGUAGACCAAAAGAUCAUCAAAAGCUAGACAUCAUGCCGAGAUCCAAAGAAAUUCAGAAACAAAUGAGAAAGAAAGUAAUUGAGAUCUAUCAGUCUGGAAAAGGUUAUAAAGCCAUUUCUAAAGCUUUUGGACUCCAAAGAAACCACAGUGAGAGCCAUUAUUCACAAAUGGCAAAAACAUGGAACAGUGGAGAACCUUCCCAGGAGUGGCCGGCCGACCAAAAUUACCCCAAGAGCACAGCGACGACUCAUCCAAGAGGUCACAAAAGACCCCACAACAACAUCCAAAGAACUGCAGGCCUCACUUUCCUCAGUUAAGGUCAGUGUUCAUGACUCCACUAUAAGAAAGAGACUGGGCAAAAAUGCUCUGCAUGGCAGAGUUCCAAGAUGAAAACCGCUGCUGAGCAAAAAGAACAUAAAGGCUCGUCUCAGUUUUGCCAGAAAACAUCUUGAUGAUCCCCAAGACUUUUUGGAAAAUAGCAAAAAAUUGCUUUUAUCAAGUACAAAUGCAUGCAUGUGAUAGGAGACUCAAAUUUCACUGCUGGUUAUAUAUUCUCUAUAUAAUCAUGUAUGUGACAAAUAAAAAUCUUGAAUCUUGAGAAUGUAAGUGUGUGAGAGUACAAAUAAAUGUAUGUGAAAGGAGAACAUAAGUGUGUGAGAGUGCCAGAAUGAAUUAUGGCUUGUUGGCAGGCUACUUUUGACACGAUUGACCCAGGUUAGAAUCAGCCUUUUGGCAAAUUUUUUUUCUGCCUUUUCAAACUUCAAAUCACAUUAGAAAAGCAUUUAUUUUUAAUAAAAAUAAAGGAAAUAAUCAAAAAGUUGAAAAUAAAGUAUCGGGUAGGUUUAGGGUAGGUGUAGGGAGGGCUUGUGUCCCAAGGUGGCAUCCAUUUAAUAAUUCGAAUUAAAAUUUAAAUUUACACUCAAUAAGUAAUUAUUGCAUAUUGUUUUAUAAUCUAUUACAA
ensembl:lncRNA